rnacentral:misc_RNA from 1 species
GUCGAAUUUAGAGCUUUUAACUGUGACAUUUGGUUAAAAGAAAAUUCCCUUUGUUUAUUUAUCUAUCCAAGUCAAUAAGAAGAAAAAUGGUAAGGUUUCCAUUGAUAUACACAAGUUGUGAUCAGCAAAAUGAGAAAUAAAUGUAGACCAUAUCCAUCCAUUUGGACCCAUUGCAUCAAUCCAUCAAUCUUCAAGAACAUACCUAUUCCGUCUUGCACCAAACGCGAUCCUUGAAAAUAUUUGGGAAUAGGCUUUUAAUCCUGUGAGGAAACGUAUGUAAGUAGCCUUUGUUGAUCCAUUGGUCGGUAUUGAUCUUAUAUUUGGGACUAAAUACUCUGCAACCACAUCUGCUGGCUCUGCCAAAACGUUAAUGAAGAACUUGGCCUGCUUCGUGUUGGCACCAGACAUUAAAAGAUCAGUUGUGACCAUUCCAGG